GGCUUCCUCAGGGGCAUGGCGGCCACCCCGCGGGAUAAACCACCGCUCCUCGCCGGGGAAGCUUUUCGGCCGCUGCUGACCUCGGCACAUGGGGAGCUGCGGUAGGGCAGAUGACCGCUUUCAUCCUGCGGAUGCUGUCUUCUUGAUAAUGAAAGGAUUUUAAUGGAAUAAAGGAAUCUUCCCAGAUUUGGAAUAAGCUCUUCGGAAAUUAGUUCCUUCAGCAGUUACUUCUGUCACUCUCCUCUUCUGAGUGGAAAUGCAGUCUUUUAAGAGACCAGAUGAAAAAGCUCUGAAACCUGAGCAGGUCAGACAGGAUUAUUCUAAGCUUUAUCAGUGUUCUAAGUAUCACAUAAAGUGGGGAGAAGGCAUUUUCAUAUGUGAACCAGAAUUCAUUGGUGCAGAGUCAAUACAAAUCUUUAUGUAGUUAGCCAGGUUUGGAGAAGCUUCCUCUUCCCCUUCCUUCUGGGCCUCAAGAAACCCAGCAGGUAAGGAGUACAGUAUGAAAUCAUGAACUGUCUCUCAAGAAGAGAGUCACCAUGCAAGAAGUGCUGGGAGAAUUAUUUGAUCAAAGAAAUGAUAUGAUGCCAGAACAUACACUAUCCCAAAGAACUAACAUGAAGGCAAUGAACUGCCAGGAGGUGGUUUGUUUCUUAGGAGUUUUAGUAUGCCUGGAGGUUCCCUUUACGAUGGUGCCAUCUAAGAAUUCUGCAAAGUGCAAAAUAACACUGUGCCCAGAAAGAGUAAAGAAGGGUGCAAACUGACCUAAAGCUGUCUUUGCUAAAGUCUUCAGCAAAUUUCAAAGGAAAACCCUCAGUCUGUAGAGAGGCUUGUGUGGUUUGGAUUUGGUAAUGGCGAUAGGAAAGAUUUGAAAAGGGUUCCCCUGAGGAGGCCAUGAAAAUGUGAGGUGCUUUUAAUCCCAGAAGAGCAACAUAGUAUUUCAGCUAUUUCUGAAUUUCAGAAUUUGUCCACUCUUGGCUGCUCCUCAUUGUUUCAUUUUCAUUGCCAUUGCUUUGUGCCUCCUCUUGAUGGUUGUCAGGCAAUAACACACUAUGAAACAUUGUGCUAUUUCCUUAGCAUAAGCUGAGUCUGGUUUUGCUGUGACUUGCACAAACAAGCUGUAUAAUAAGAGAGCUGGCAAAACCAAACAUUUCAGCAUAGUUGAGAUCUAUGCUGUAGUAGCCAAGUUGCUUGCUUGCCCCCCCCCCCCGCUCUCUCAAAGGGCCAAGAAAGCGCUACCCAGAGGCCCUUAACUAAUAAGGACUUGAAGGCCUGAAUUAGCAUUCCAAUCUUUUUAUUAAAACAGCUCACAGCAGAAAAAUAAACCUGACCUGCUUACCACAGAGUAAGGCUUUGAGUUUGUGUUAUGCAUGUGUAAUUCCAGAUGACAUGAACUGUUGUUGGAAGGAAGGAGAAGGCAAAGCCUGGAUUUUGACUUGAAAUGGCAGUGAUGACUUGCAUGCCCCCUAAUAUUAGAUGAGAAAAUUGGUGGGGCUGACCAUUAAUUGGAAGAUCUGAUGCAGGGAUUACAGAACAGGAGUUGUCCUCAAGUUAGUUUUGCCUUAUACAUUGUUCAAAGUGCAUUUGCAUUCAGAAAUUUUGCCUAUGUGAAUAAAGCCCUAGAUUUUAAUGUGACUGUAAAUGACAGAAUUAAAAUAAUGCUUAUUAGAAGUAGAUUAGACAUUAGGACCCUCUUAACUUGAAGACCUAUUGGAAAAGGGCUAUUUUGGAAUAGAUUUUGCUACUGAAUUCACCAAGAAAAGGUCAGAUAACUGGAUCUUGUGGACUGUGUGCUUCUGAACAUACGAGUUUGGUAAUCAUACUCUUAAAACUGAUAUUCUUUCAUUUUCAUCUGCAGUAGUUUUUGCCCUGUUAAAAAACAUGGGUUUUACUACAGAUUCGCUUCUGUAUGCAACAUGUACAGGCAACUGAGGAACAACAGUUCUGUCUUAAUGAGGUCAAAUGCUCUUGCCUGGAAGAUACUUUCUUAGUGUGCACACAGUCACGUAUUCAAAGCAGAAAAUUACAGGAUGGUAAUUUAAGCUUAACAUCUUUCAUUACUGGGUAUACCAGUCAAUCUUGUAUCUUUUUCUUCGCAUGUCAAAUUAUAUUUCUGCAUGUCAUUGUCUAAACUGUGUUAUAUCUUUCCACAACUCCCAGGGACACAGUCAACUUACAUUUACAAUUAAGUCUGGAUUCUAAGUCAGAAUUUUUUCUAUUCAAUUUAAAAACCUGAAGAAUUAGUAAAAAAAGAGAAAAGCUCUACAGUCUUUUAACCAAAAUACUUCAGCAGAAGCCGCCUAAGAUUAUAGCUACAUAAGUAAAAGGGAUUUUGGUAGUUUUAUUAUCUAAUAAUAAACCAGUGACUUGAAUAAGCAUGCAACAAGAACCUGUAGUUAUGCAAACGAAAAACAUGGGCACAGGAGAUGAGUGUACAACCCUUUUACUGUAAAAGUACGUCAGGCUACAGUGGCUGUUCAGAAAAAAACGGACUUCAAUGUGUAGAGACUGGAUAGUGCCAUUAAAGGCACGUAGUUCCAGACCCAGUGGUGGAAUAUGCUAACCACCUGUGCUGAUCUGAAGGAACUUUCUACAUGCUACCAACAUAUCUCUGCAUACCAUCCCUCUACCCCUGUCUGCCCUACAAUUCUGUUUCAGUAACUUGAAAGUUUUGAACAGGGACCUGAUGUUGUGUGACUUACACUAAGCCAGGCACAGUUUCCAAUGUUACGAGUUGACUUGUGGAUCCUAAAAUCCUGUUUAAUAUGCACAUGCUUUGCAAGCAUGUGUAAGCCAACUUAACCUGACAUAGAACUUGACAUUAUGUAAAACCUAAGCAGGAAAAGGGGAAAAAAGGAGAGUGUAAGUGAAGAGAGAUCUCAGAGUAACAGCUAUGAAGGGACUUUCCAUAACAAGGUCAGUUAAAAUUAGCACAAAUGCAAAGUAACAAAUCAGGUACAUGUGCUGCCUGUGUAAAGAUAAAACUAGCUUGUUAUUACUGAUUAAGUAAAGAGAAGGGCUCUGUCCAGCAACUACAUUAUUCUUGCAUUGAAUUCAUGUUCAGGCUAAAAUUUCUAGUCUGAAAUGUAAUUAAAAUCAAUACUUGAUAUGGUGGCCAUCUGUUAGCAAGUCUAAAAAGAAGGGGAUAGAAAAAAGUUCUUAUUUCUUCGAGUUCUAUUGAGAGUAUAAUAAUUUAUUAAAAUAUGCCUGUGGUCUAGCUUGCUUUCAAAAGUUUCCAGGAACACCAAGGAAAAUGGCUGAAGUCUGUUCUUUCUCCAUGUAUCACCUUAGUAAGCCAGAAUCAGCUGAUUAUUACCAUUAGCAAAGGGGAAGAGAAAUCAGGUUUUCACUUUUGAAGCAUGAUGCAAUUUCAAAAUGAUUUAAAAAAAAAUAUUCAGAGAAGUGAUUCAAGUAAGUGAUUUUGCAUAAAGAUUUCCAGCUGGAAAGACUUAAUGUAGAUCAAAACCUUGAUUUUCCACCUAGAUGAAUAGACGUAACAGGCCAACAAAAUUUAUGAAAUCCAAGUACAGCAUGUCCCACCUGUACUCCUGAACAAUCAAUCUUAUUCUGCUUUAAUAGAGUAUUCUAACUUGUCACUUACAUUGGCUUAAUCCUGAGCACAUUAGCUGAAAUUAAUGCCUCAUUUUUAUUUACUUUUUUAAAGAAC